rnacentral:tRNA from 1 species
GCCCCUGUAGCUCAACUGGAUAGAGCGGCGGCGUUCUAAGCCGAAGGUUGCAAGUUCGAGUCUUGCCGGGGGCA